rnacentral:lncRNA from 1 species
CAGUCUUUCAACGGCACUAGAGCUGGUUCUGCUGACAUACUUUGGCCAAUGUUCCACUACAACUCGGCGUACUAUAGUCUAAACUGUGAGUGUUAUUUCAGCUGACUCCUAUGACAGCGUGACAGCGGCCUUCGUAAGCGUCACGAACGUCAACGCUAUUUGUGCCUAAGCGGAGAGCAUCUAGCUGGACGCCUCUUGUGGUAUUAAUUUGACGCUAUGGUUUCUGCUGGGCAGUGCUUCUCAGGCAUAGGCACGAACACGAACAACCGCUAAGUGCUUUAUGUUUUCACUGCCUUUUUGUAUUAGCUCACUCACACACAAAAGAGCUUCUAGCGCAGUUCUUCCAAUAAAGCGUAGCCUUUGAGCGCAGUAGUGUGCUUUCUAUCGAAAUAUUGCAUUAAGGAUACCCAAUGCUCGCACGCAAACGCGCUCACGUGUCUUAAAGGUCUUGGCGCACUGUAUACAUCUGAACGUUGUUGUAUCUCAUAUGCCUCGUCAGUCACCUGUUCACAGUUUUCUCAUCCAACAUGUGCGCACUGUUGACGUCGUCUCAAUACCGAACUCAUUUUUCCCUCCUGUGAUUGUCGAUGCCCAGUUGACAACUAAUGUUGAUUGUUGCCCAUGUGCGUCCAAAUAGUGACCCCUUUGUGCAAUACUAUUUCGAGCUAGUACACAAAGCGUUCGUGUGCAUGGCUUUGAUGGCGGCCAUUUACUUAUAUGUACAUCCAGGUUAGUGAGCUUUCUUGCCAGUGAAAUCAGACGGCGCGCAUUUAACGAGAUGGCAGUCAUGGUUCUGAUUUCGCGGAGCAGUUCUGACACACAGUGACUACGCGUGUCGCCACAGGUUAGGUGGUGUAAACGAAAUAUUUUAUUCUGCAUCAGACUUACGAAGAGACAAUCGAACAGGUCCAUAUGACGAAGUAUAUUUCAACGCUUGACCAGACUUGCAGUCGCUGCUAAAAUGUGCUCCUAUUGUACUUGAAGCCGGAACCGCGCAUUCGGCGCUAUUAACGGCACAGAAUUGUAUUAUGUUUUAGUAGUGAUUAUUAUGUUAGUACGCCUCACAACAUAUGCGAAAAUUGCUUAAAGUAUUUUCUGAUUAACUAUGUGAGCAUCGGAGCAUGAUGUUAUGUGAUCUUUACAAAUAAAGAAGUUGCUGAAAGCUU